CCCUUAGAUGUUCUGGGCCGCACGCGCGCUACACUGAUGCAUUCAACGAGUUUCUUCCUGGUCCGAGAGGAAUGGGUAACCUUUUGAAAUUGCAUCGUGAUAGGGAUAGACUAUUGCAAUUAUUGGUCUUCAACGAGGAAUUCCUAGUAGACGUAGUUCAUCAGACUGCAUCGAUUACGUCCCUGCCCUUUGUACACACCGCCCGUCGCUCCUACCGAUUGAAUGCUCAGGUGAGCCAUUCGGACUUUCAUCAUGCUGGUUUCCAGUUUUGAUGAAGGAAAGUCUUGCGAACCUUAUCAUUUAGAGGAAGGAGAAGUCGUAACA
rnacentral:rRNA from 1 species